AAUCAAGCUUUGCUAGUUACUCC
rnacentral:snRNA from 1 species